CUGCGGGCCAGUCGCGUUCGGAAGGGCCCCGCGCGCGGACCGCGUGCCAGCCACCGCCAUGGAGAACCUACACCACAGCCCGCUAUCCUCCGUCAUCGUCGCCAAUGUCGCCGCCAUCGCCCUGCAGACAGGGCUGUGCUGACGUCCCACCCCACUCCCACCCGGGAACUGGCGGGAAAUUAAAAAUGGUGGUACCCUAUCCAGGACUCGAACACCGGUCCUCCUGAAAAAAAAAGCCCAAAUGCACCCCCUUAACACAAUUAGGCCACCAGAGGCACCUGAAAUUGGCAGUAGCCAAUAGAAAUGCAGCGUCCGAUCACAACGGGGAUAUAAGGCGAGCCCAGCAGCUCUGCAGCCUCAGUUGCAGUCAGUCAGUCAGUCAGUCAGUCACCAUUAAGUGCCAGCCAAGAUCGUCCAGCGCUGCCCAGUCGCAGCAGUAGCAGCAGAAUAGGAAGAGGCUAUGGAAGCUGAACCCGACUUCCUCCAUCCUGUUGGAGUCUGCAACACCGACAUGUCCCAGCCCUUCAGGACCUGCAGCAACGACAGCAUCCUGGGAUCCUGUUGCGCACCUGAUCAGCUUAGUGGAGCAGGACGGUCGGCUUUUAUUAUUGGUUGAGGACAACCAGCCAACCCCUGACUCGCUGAAGUGCACUGGGGGUCCUAAUCAGCAUGACGCAGGUCGGUACUGGACCCCCAUCAUACGCACCAUCGCAGAAUAUUCCAGUGAUCCUGCAUGGACAAAGUGAGGAUGUAAUGGAUGAGAAGAUAUCAAUUAAGCCCUGUGCACCAGUGCUGUUUACUUCAGUGUAUAGUUUAAUAGUUAGUGUUUCGAAGUGUUUACAUACUGGUAUAGAAGCAACCGCAGACAGAGACUGGCUUGUUGUGAUAGAGAUCUAGAAUGCAACUAGAAGUAUUAAAGUGCAGUUUACAGAGGUGGAAUGGGAUGAACUGUGUCGUGCAAAAGUCUACAUCAAGCAGCAGUUGACCGCCGAGUAUCAUCCUAGCCGUCUCCCGCCAGAAAUUUACUGUGCUGCUCUAACUCUGUCCAUUAUAACAUUGUACAAUGACUCAGCACUCCUUGUGAAAUCAGGUGAUGCCUGCAUUUAUCUACAGCACUGCACUGUUAAAAACUUGUUCGGUAUACAGAUGGUGUUAUCUAUUGCGUUGGAAAGAUUGAACAUAUGGCUGCCUUGUGUUGAAGUUCUGUAUAGAGAAAUUGCAGAGUAUCUAAGUAAGAACAACGUGCAUGUAAACUAUUUCGAACAGUGGGUCAGUAUGGUGCCAAUGAAAACUAAUGUACUGCCAGAAUGUUUGAGAGAAAUACAUGCUGAAUUCUGUGCUUACAAGACGGCUUUAUUUUCUGUGUUAUGUACUGGCGAGAAUCUGGUGAUGUAAUGCAUCAUGUGUAUGAUUACGGAAUAAAAAAUGUA